UACGUAGGGGGCAAGCGUUGUCCGGAUUCAUUGGGCGUAAAGAGCGUGUAGGCGGCCAGGUAGGUCGGUUGUGAAAACUGGAGGCUCAACCUUCAGAGGUCGACCGAAACCAUCUGGCUAGAGUCCGGGAGAGGAGAGUGGAAUUCCUGGUGUAGCGGUGAAAUGCGCAGAUAUCAGGAAGAACACCCAUGGCGAAAGCGGCUCUCUGGAACGGUACUGACGCUGAGACGCGAAAGCGUGGGGAGCGAACAGG
rnacentral:rRNA from 1 species